rnacentral:rRNA from 1 species
AGAGUUUGAUCAUGGCUCAGAUUGAACGCUGGCGGCAGGCCUAACACAUGCAAGUCGAACGGUAACAGGAAGCAGCUUGCUGCUUUGCUGACGAGUGGCGGACGGGUGAGUAAUGUCUGGGAAACUGCCCGAUGGAGGGGGAUAACUACUGGAAACGGUAGCUAAUACCGCAUAACGUCGCAAGACCAAAGAGGGGGACCUUCCUUCGGGCCUCUUGCCAUCGGAUGUGCCCAGAUGGGAUUAGCUAGUAGGUGGGGUAACGGCUCACCUAGGCGACGAUCCCUAGCUGGUCUGAGAGGAUGACCAGCCACACUGGAACUGAGACACGGUCCAGACUCCUACGGGAGGCAGCAGUGGGGAAUAUUGCACAAUGGGCGCAAGCCUGAUGCAGCCAUGCCGCGUGUAUGAAGAAGGCCUUCGGGUUGUAAAGUACUUUCAGCGGGGAGGAAGGGAGUAAAGUUAAUACCUUUGCUCAUUGACGUUACCCGCAGAAGAAGCACCGGCUAACUCCGUGCCAGCAGCCGCGGUAAUACGGAGGGUGCAAGCGUUAAUCGGAAUUACUGGGCGUAAAGCGCACGCAGGCGGUUUGUUAAGUCAGAUGUGAAAUCCCCGGGCUCAACCUGGGAACUGCAUCUGAUACUGGCAAGCUUGAGUCUCGUAGAGGGGGGUAGAAUUCCAGGUGUAGCGGUGAAAUGCGUAGAGAUCUGGAGGAAUACCGGUGGCGAAGGCGGCCCCCUGGACGAAGACUGACGCUCAGGUGCGAAAGCGUGGGGAGCAAACAGGAUUAGAUACCCUGGUAGUCCACGCCGUAAACGAUGUCGACUUGGAGGUUACGAUGUCGACUUGGAGGUUGUGCCCUUGAGGGCGUGGCUUCUGGAGGUUGUGCCCUUAGGCGUGGCUUCCGGAGCUAACGCGUUAAGUCUAACGCGUUAAGUCGACCGCCUGGGGAGUACGGCCGCAAGGUUAAAACUCAAAUGAAUUGACGGGGGCCCGCACAAGCGGUGGAGCAUGUGGUUUAAUUCGAUGCAACGCGAAGAACCUUACCUGGUCUUGACAUCCACGGAAGUUUUCAGAGAUGAGAAUGUGCCUUCGGGAACCGUGAGACAGGUGCUGCAUGGCUGUCGUCAGCUCGUGUUGUGAAAUGUUGGGUUAAGUCCCGCAACGAGCGCAACCCUUAUCCUUUGUUGCCAGCGGUCCGGCCGGGAACUCAAAGGAGACUGCCAGUGAUAAACUGGAGGAAGGUGGGGAUGACGUCAAGUCAUCAUGGCCCUUACGACCAGGGCUACACACGUGCUACAAUGGCGCAUACAAAGAGAAGCGACCUCGCGAGAGCAAGCGGACCUCAUAAAGUGCGUCGUAGUCCGGAUUGGAGUCUGCAACUCGACUCCAUGAAGUCGGAAUCGCUAGUAAUCGUGGAUCAGAAUGCCACGGUGAAUACGUUCCCGGGCCUUGUACACACCGCCCGUCACACCAUGGGAGUGGGUUGCAAAAGAAGUAGGUAGCUUAACCUUCGGGAGGGCGCUUACCACUUUGUGAUUCAUGACUGGGGUGAAGUCGUAACAAGGUAACCGUAGGGGAACCUGCGGUUG